GUGGAAUGGAACAGACAGGAGUGGAAUGGAACAGACAGGAGUGGAAUGGAACAGACAGGAGUGGAAUGGAACAGACAGGAGUGGAAUGGAACAGACAGGAGUGGAAUGGAACAGACAGGAGUGGAAUGGAAGAGACAGGAGUGGAAUGGAACAGACAGGAGUGGAAUGGAAGAGACAGGAGUGGAAUGGAACAGACAGGAGUGGAAUGGCACAGACAGGAGUGGAAUGGAACAGACAGGAGUGGAAUGGCACAGACAGGAGUGGAAUGGAACAGACAGGAGUGGAAUGGAACAGACAGGAGUGGAAUGGAACAGACAGGAGUGGAAUGGAACAGACAGGAGUGGAAUGGAACAGACAGGAGUGGAAUGGAACAGACAGGAGUGGAAUGAACAGACAGGAGUGGAAUGAACAGACAGGAGUGGAAUGGAACAGACAGGAGUGGAAAAGGAGGGAGGAAAGAAACAAGCACAGAAAUGUCUGUUUAGUCCCACCCUCCCCCCGUUCUCGCUCUCUCCCUCUCUCUUUUUUCGCUGUGCAGUACCUUGGCUGUCAGAGCAGGUGUUGGACAGGGUAUAAAGGCCAUCUGGAGUGAGGGAUUGCUGAGCAGUGAGAAUUAAGACCUCCACACUCUGACAGGGCUCAGACAAACCAUCUGGUCCCCCCUCGCUUAAAGAACCUGUUCCCAGCUUCUUCACACACCGACCUCCAGCGCUCACGCUCUCUCACUAAAACACACAUGUUCACUCACUCCCCUCGAUUAGCAUCUGCUGUCGGGAGGUUAGUGGAUUGUAAAGACCUGCUUCUUCCUCAGAGAGAUUUCUUUGUUUCUUUAUUCUUGUGACUUUUUGGAGUGGAGUCGGGCCGGCAUGGCGUGGAGGAGAUGUGCAUUUGGACCCAGCAUGUCAGUCUGUCUCUGGGCUUUGUGUCUGUCCCUCAGUCUCAUCUGGACUUGUCAAGUGACCCAGGCAGCCAUCUACAGACUCGCAGAUGAAGUACAACGUUGAUUAAAUACUCUCUUAGAAAAUAGGGUUAAUGGAGGGUUCUUCAGGUGUCGCUGCGGGAGAACCUUUUUUGGUUCCAACUAGAAACAUUUUACCCAACAAACAACCCUUUAAGAAUCCUUUCAUAAAAAGAUUCUACCUGGAUCAAAAUAAAAGGGUUCUGAACCUGUUAUGGUUCUAGGUAGCACAUUGGUUUACUACCAGAGAAGGGUAACAUGUUUCUGGUAACUUGCCAUUCAUCCUUUGGUGCACAGGUCCAUGUAUCUACAAAGAGGUUUCGUUUGAGCCUGGACAGACCUUCUACAGGGGUUGUAAACAAGUGAAAAUGCCACGAAAAUGGCUACUUCUGUCUCUCACCGAUGAAACCUACCACAUGGCCCAACAAGUGCCAGCGGGUUCCAACGGAGUGUGGCUACCGCGUGGUUUAUAAGGAGGUCCCGGAGGUGGAGUGUCAAGCCUACAGCUGGAUCUGGUGAAGGCAGACAGACACCUAUGCCCCCCUAUAGUCAACACACACGAUCGCAAGACUCUGGCUGUGGACAACCUCUUCAAGUAGUUAUCAUGCAGAGAACUGACCACAUUUACAAUGGAAAUUUACAAUGGAAAGCUGUGGUUCCCCUGCAGCAUUGCAGAGGCAGUUGCAGUGCUUCAUGUAUAAAUUCGAUUUGUCGAACGUAUGGGUAACGACCCUGGGUUUAUAACCGCGGUAAAUCGACUCUGCCGCUGGAUGCUUUUGCGGCAGUUGAUAGCGCGCCGGACCUCGGGUCCCUGCUGUUUCAUUACAGUAUGCAUCAAAUCGUAUGCGUAGACGGCGUGACAUAAAUGGUAGCAGAAUGUGAAUGUUGAACUUUUGUUGCACACAUAUCCAGAUGAUGCGUAUCAUUUUACAAAUAAAAGUUUGAUUUGACCUCGUGACAAGACAAACGGCGUGCUUCUAGAUGUCGACGCUAUUACCCGGCACUGCCCGAGUGUGGCCCUCAAAUCUCAACCAGAUACCCUUCAUUGCCAUGCAGCGUUACAAAGGUCUAUAUCGGUUCCUUCGUAGGUGUUCAGUCUUCUGUAUGUCGCAGACCGCUAUGUUUUCAAUGUUAGGAAGCGAGAGCGCCAUCGGUCAACUUCACAAACCGAGGCUGGAUUUACACUCUACUAUGCACGCUCCAUACAGGCUCCGCAAACUCUUUGCGACUUCACCCGCACUGAGAUUUGAGCUGUGCAUGGCAGAGCGUGUAACUUCACACAAUUGUCAGUGAUGAAUUGCUCAGCAGAAAGCUUGACUGUGGCGUUUACUCAGCCUUACAGGGCAACUCCCUAGCCUCACCCGUCGACUAGUUUUUCAGGAUAAGGAUAUAUUUCACCGUUCACGUCACUGUGUAUACAGUAUAUGUAUAUAAUACAUUAUUUCAAAUAAAACAUGGCAGUGUUACAUACUGUGUAAAUAAAUGUCAACUAUU